rnacentral:lncRNA from 1 species
AUUAACGGCGAUGAGAAAUGAAUUAUUAAACUCGUGCCAUUUUCGUAUUUCAGGUAGUGAGAGGCCCUAAAAUCCCAAAGGUGUCAUAGGGGAAGUCAGAAAAGUGUUGAAGACUCUACUUCCUGCAAACACGAGGUUCUCUCCGCAGUUCUCAUGGUAAAGAAGGUUCAGAAGGGGAAGCAGGACAAGAGAGUAAACUCCACUGAAAGCCAUCUGGCUGGUGUGUGCCAGUCCCAUUGCUGGAAGGUGGCAAACACAGAAGGUUUUGUCUUAAAGCCAUAGCCACACUCACGAGGCACAGAUGGAAACUGCUUCCAAAGAGGAAGGUAUUGUGAAUGCUGACAUCGCCUCUUGGGCAGAAUUCUCUUACCUCACUGGAGAUGGGUUCAGUGAGCAGAUCCCUCUCCUGGAAACUGAGAGAGUUUCCGCAGGCAUCUUAAAGGAUCACAAGUUCCAUCUGUUGCGCUUGGUAUUUU